rnacentral:rRNA from 1 species
AUGAAACCUGUCAAAUCAAAGGACCCUAUUGACAUUUUGAACAUUAAAUUGAAGAGAUUUAAGAAAAUUUUCAAAGGAUGGGGGCCAAAUUUAUUUGGAAAAUCCAGAAAGAGGAGGAGUGAACUUAGAGAGGAGUUAGAACAUCUAGAAAAAUUGGAAGAAACAGAUGUACUAUCCCUUGAAUUAUAUGAGAAAAAGGUUGAUAUACUGGUAGAGUUAUACAACAUACUAGUGGAAGAGGAGGUUGCUGGGAUGCAAAAAUCUCAUGAAAACUGGCUAUUGAAAGGGGACAGAAACACUGACUAUUUUCAUAGAAUAGUGAAUGGGAGAAGACCGAGAAAUACUAUCUUCUCUCUUAGUUGCGGGCAUGAGGUGAUUGAGGGGACCAACAAUCUCUUGAAACAUGCUACAGAAUUUUAUAAGGACCUCUUUGGGCCAGCAGCGGGGAAUUUAUGCAAAAUGAGGGAGAAUAUGUGAGAAUCAAAUGAGAAAUUGUCAAACAUUGAUAACCUUAUCCUUACUAAACCCUUUUCUGAAACAGAAAUUAAGAAUGCCCUAUUCUCC